ensembl:lncRNA
ACCUUGAGUACGGAUACGAUACGAUGCUGAAACCAUCGUUGAUUGAAAGUUUUAAACUGAGCAAAUUGUAAGUGAGGUGUUUUAAAUAACUGCUGGAACACGUGACGCGUGUACAGGAUAUAAAAUACGUCCCCGUCCACACUGACUUCCACACAACGCUGACUUUUAUCCACAUACGUUAAAAAAACGUAUUAAAAUGUACACGUACACGUAUUAAAAUGAUAGUUAUAUUUGUUACACGACUCUACGGGGUUUAUACGUUUUUAUCUCCGGUAUCUGAUCCGGUAUGAUUACAGUGUCCGUACUCUAACGGUAACAAAGUACUCAAACACUGUCACGCUCAACAGAUUCACGUCCUUUAUAAAAUGGCCGCUCUGUCUGAAUGAUCGGCUCUGUGGUGCUGCACCAAUCAGUGAUGACCGGCGCUGUUAGCUCCGCCCCCGAGACCUGUUAGUUACCAUUGGCGCCCAUUUUUAAAAGGAACCAGAAAGAAAACGUCCAGCACGGGUGCUGAAAGUUUUGUUCCUUUGUGCGGUGGAAAUGCAGUUUUAUUUCAUAAUGUUUUGUUAGUAAUGAUCCGUGUUUAGCGCUGUAGCAUGUGUGAGCGCGACGUUAGCGAGCUGGAGCUGGUCUUUAGCAGAAUGUAUUAGUUAUAUAUAUAUAUGUAUAAGUAUAUAACGGUAAUGGAAUUAUCGAGUGUGUACGUGUCGCAUCCGUGUACUGUGAUGUACAGCGUUUACACUCGACAGCCAUGUCUGCGUUUCAGAAUGUCUGUCCUACGAGACAUGAACACAUUUUAUUUAGAAUAAAGAACGCGGUACUCGACGACAAACAGGCAGACGACCUGUUGCACUUUUUUAUUUUGGGAGAAACCUUGAUACUGGGGUUUUACAGAGGACUGGGCGCACCAGUCUCCGUUUAUAUAUCGUAUCUAUAUCUGUGUACUCUACUACAUCUAUACAUCAUGUACCUCUACAUUUAACACUCUUUUAUUGAUCCACAUUCACCAAGUGCAGCCUGAGCGCAGGAGUACCGAAGGAAUCGAACACUUUCCAUUUGGAGUGCCUGUUACCGUUCCCAAGUUCUUUUCCCGAACAGCGCAACACGGCGUGUUUUAUUCCUCUGACUCCACAGCAGUGACUCGCCUUUAUGUGUUACAGAACGACGGGUCUUACUUUACACCUCGAUUUUCUACAAAAACCCGUUUUCAUCACAGCAGCUAUAACCGUCGAUCCCUGACUGUCACAAUGCGCUGACACUGGAGACUCCUUCCUUAACUGUUAAAUAAAUACCUGCGUUUACAUGGACAGCAGUAAUCUGAUUAUUGAGCUUACUCUGAGUAAGAUAAUAAUGUGAUUAAGGUUGUUUAUAUGAGUCGCUUUUAGAAUACUCCUGUCAUGUUCCCGUUUUACAUGUUAUAGAACAUAAUUAGAUUAACAGCCCGCGUCAUUACGUCACCGCGCCACGCCGUCUGACGUCCCUCCAGAAUUUCACGUAUCAACUUACAGUUGGUCUUCGUUAUGGGACCGUAUACAGUUUUGGGUGUUUUUAUUUAUUUAUUUUUUUACGAACGCUUUAAGUGCAGUUAAUUAUUGUCGUGCUGUACGUGCAAACAGACGACCGCUUGAAGCCGUAGGUGUGUCCCAAAUCGCAUACUUACCGUCUAUAUAGUAUCCACAUUAUUUCCUCUAAUUACAGGCCUAUAGCCGGUAAGUACACGGUUUGGGACGCGGCCGUGCUCUCUUGUUUGCUGUAAAACAGUCGAGCGCUGCCGUGUGUGAUCGUGUCCUGUCGCACGAUGCGGGUGAAAACUCACACGGCGUUAAUAGUGUGAUUAAGGUGUGUACACGUCUGUAACGCACGUCGAUAAUGCGACUAAAACAGGAAAUACUCCACACGUCUUAAUUCCAUUAGUGUUCACUUCGAGUGUGACUUUAAUCGGAUUAAGGUCAUCAAUAGUGUCUGAUUACAUGCUAGUGUCUUAAUCAGAGUAUCGUAUUAAUCGGAUUCAUAACAGAUCAUCGUUGUCCGUGUAAACGCACCGAUUGUCUCCUUUCUUUAGGAAAACUUCACCACAUCUGCGCUUUUUAAAUGGUGGAACAUCCGCCGUACAUGUCCCUGUGAACGGGGUGUUGCUAUGGAAACGAUAACGUAUUAGGACGAGCGCAUUGAGAUAUAAACCUGCACUGCUGUCAGAGCUGCUGUGGGGAAUGAAUUCUAACUAGAUUACAAUGAUUUUGAAGUGUUAGAACCGUGGCUCUCUGUCGGGACUGAGACACUACAGAACCCUGGACACGGUACUGAACGGUCCUGAUUUCAGUAAGACUGUAACCCACGCUGCACGUUCUCUUGUGUCCCAGAUGAAAACUCUUGAUCUGUGCAGAAGAAAUUCCUGGGAAAUGUUUAACACUCCGAGUCUAAUGUUUUGUCCUGUUUCUGUGUCUAAUGAUUGUAUUGGCAAAUAAACCACUUCUUUUUAC